rnacentral:rRNA from 1 species
UACGAAGGGGGCUAGCGUUGCUCGGAAUCACUGGGCGUAAAGGGUGCGUAGGCGGGUUUUUAAGUCAGGGGUGAAAUCCUGGAGCUCAACUCCAGAACUGCCUUUGAUACUGAAGAUCUUGAGUUCGGGAGAGGUGAGUGGAACUGCGAGUGUAGAGGUGAAAUUCGUAGAUAUUCGCAAGAACACCAGUGGCGAAGGCGGUCCCCUGGGCCGGAACUGACGCUGAGGCGCGAAAGCGUGGGUAGCAAACGGG